AGGGUUUGAUUCUGGCUCAGGAUGAACGCUGGCGGCGUGCUUAACACAUGCAAGUCGAACGAAGCACUUUACUUGAUUUCUUCGGAAUGAUUGUUCUGUGACUGAGUGGCGGACGGGUGAGUAACGCGUGGGUAACCUGCCUCAUACAGGGGGAUAACAGUUGGAAACGGCUGCUAAUACCGCAUAAGCGCACAGGGUCGCAUGACCUGGUGUGAAAAACUCCGGUGGUAUGAGAUGGACCCGCGUUGGAUUAGCUAGUUGGUGAGGUAACGGCCCACCAAGGCGACGAUCCAUAGCCGACCUGAGAGGGUGACCGGCCACAUUGGGACUGAGACACGGCCCAA
rnacentral:rRNA from 1 species